AUCGACGGGGAGGUUUGGCACCUCGAUGUCGGCUCGUCGCAUCCUGGGGCUGAAGCAGGUCCCAAGGGUUUGGCUGUUCGCCAAUUAAAGCGGUACGCGAGCUGGGUUUAGAACGUCGUGAGACAGUUCGGUCCCUAUCCGUCGUGGGCGUAGGAUACUUGAAGAGGGUCUGCCUCUAGUACGAGAGGACCGAGGUGGACGAACCUCUAGUGUACCAGUUGUCCUGCUCAGGGCAUUGCUGGGUAGCUAUGUUCGGUCGGGAUAAACGCUGAAAGCAUCUAAGCGUGAAGCCCACCUCAAGAUUAGGUAUCCCACCUGGAUUUAUCCAGGGAGAGACCCCGGGUAGACUACCCGGUUGAUAGGUCAGAAGUGUAAGGACAGUAAUGUCUUUAGCUAACUGAUACUAAUAGGUCGAGGACUUGACCGU
rnacentral:rRNA from 1 species